AAGCCAUUCACGGGAUUUGCGCUAGGGGACUUGUUUAUCACUCGAUGUGUUAUUUUUGGUGUUGUUGAAUUUUACUUUCACGCUGGUGAGAAAUAUUCUUAAGCGUUUGCAGAGUGAAACUGAAAUUCCAGAAGGGUAGAGAGAAGGAGGAGCAAAAUGGUUUUGAAAUGCAUCUGAGUCUCAUAAUUAUAUCAUGGUCGAUGAUUUUGUAGUUUGAAAAUAAAUAAUAGAAUUGAGUAAGACUUCUCGUAGUAAGGCGCAUGCGCAUGGCUGUGACACUUCCUAUUUUUGUUAUUAUUCAUUAUUAUUAUUAUCAUUGAGAAUGCCAAGUUUAUGUCUUUUUACUUUCGCUUUCCUUGAAGCCGCCUGUUGCAAUUAUUAUUGGUCGUAUUUCAAGAUGAUUUUGUAGUUCGAAAAUAAGUAAUAAAAUCGAAAGUACCUUAUGUUUCUGAAGGAAACCCACCAAUUCAAAAAGGCAAUUAUAAAGGCCUAUUUACACGGCACCAUUUGCCGCGCGCGACUUGACGUAUACGGCAAAAUCAGCUCAAAAUCGUGCCGUGUAAAUAGGCCUUAAAGAUCCUUUCCCGUCGAUUAACCGCAUAGUUAAAUAUUAACUAUGCUCAACUGUGAUUGACUGAAUGACAGUCUUGACAUGCCAAGGAAAAAUAAAAAAAAGCAAAAUUAUGUUGCACAAGUUUAGUUUUUUUGAAUCUUAGAUUUUGAAAUUUCUGCUGACAAAGUAUAUUUGUUUGUAAACUUUAAUAUUUUUACAAAAUAAAGAAUAAAAGCAUUCCAGAAUCUGAAAUGCGUUAUGGUCUAAAAGCUGCUUCAAAGGUUGUGGAGGAGGCAACACACCAAGCAUCUCGAUCCAGUUUCAUUUCUUUUAUACGAGUUUUUUAUGUGUUGUUUCUUUUGACAGACUUUCAAGAUGAUCAUCCAUUUCUGAAUGCUUGUAUAGAGCCAGGAGGAUUCCUAGUGAUGAAAGAUUUUGAUAGCUAUUCAAGUCUUACAGAAGACGAAGCUAAUUUAUGGUUAGGAAAAUAUUCACUUGAUGAAGAAGAAUUCAAAUCCGUGAAAGAAGACCUUUCUCUAUAUCUAGAAAAAUAUCUUUAAAAUCUACAAAUAGCACUUGGCACUAAUUGUCAGGCUACUGUUGACAGGCCUCCCCUCUGCCAAAAGCAAGAAACAAUACUCAAGGAAAUGGUUUGAAAUGGCAAAACAUUACACCUAAGCUGAAAAUUUCUAUAAUUAUAAUUAUAACACUUCAUUGAUGAUGAUAGACUAUUGGACUUUUUAAAAAAAAUAUCAAUGAAGCUAUAUUUAAAGUUGGUUUCAAAAUGCCAUGGUUUAUCUAUUUAUACACAGUAUACUUAACAGAAUAGAUAAGAUUGGAUCUGUGAAAUGACUAAUGUAUACAUGUUGAACCAGUUAAGGUAGGCACAAUAAAUUGUAGUGUCCUUUGCAA